GGACUCAGCUUCUUGUUUUCGGCCGAGAAUUAACUGGGUUUGCUAUUUGGAUGUAUAGCCUAGUCAGACGUGAUUGGUCCAGGUGCUCGUUGAUGAACUUGCCACGAUGUUUGUUUGGAUCCAGCAGUUCUGGAGAGAUUGCCAUAGUUGCUGGUGGAAGUGAUAAGAAUGGAUGUGUACUAAAAUGCGCUGAACUUUACAACUCGGACCUGGGCACGUGGGAGUCUUUGCCAGACAUGAAUAUGCCACGUAAAAUGUGUUCUGGCUUUUUUAUGGAUGGGCAUUUUUAUGUCAUUGGGGGAAUGUGCAGCCAUACUGAAUCUUUAACUUGUGGAGAGGAGUUCAACCUCGAGACAAGGACAUGGAAGAGAAUUAGAGACAUGUACCCUGGUGGUAACAGGGCCACUCAGUCUCCCCCGUUAGUUGCAGUUGUAAAUAAUCAGCUUUAUGCUGCGGAUCAGUCAACAAAUGUAGUUAAGAAGUACGACAAGGCAAAUAAUACUUGGAAUAUUAU
rnacentral:misc_RNA from 1 species